UGUGCCAACGGAGUGGCGCAGGCGCUCAAGGAAGAACACCUCAAGGACAUCGCAGGAUGCGAUUCAUCAGGAUGAUGAAAAGGAUCAAAUGGACCAUGGAAAAAAUGUGGGCGGUCAUACCGCCCCUUUUUUU
rnacentral:sRNA from 1 species